UGGAAGUAAAAAAAUCGUAACAAGGUUUCCGUAGGUGAACCUGCGGAAGGAUCAUUACCGAGUGAGGGCCCUUUGGGUCCAACCUCCCACCCGUGUUUAUUUUACCUUGUUGCUUCGGCGGGCCCGCCUUUACUGGCCGCCGGGGGGCUCACGCCCCCGGGCCCGCGCCCGCCGAAGACACCCUCGAACUCUGUCUGAAGAUUGAAGUCUGAGUGAAAAUAUAAAUUAUUUAAAACUUUCAACAACGGAUCUCUUGGUUCCGGCAUCGAUGAAGAACGCAGCGAAAUGCGAUACGUAAUGUGAAUUGCAAAUUCAGUGAAUCAUCGAGUCUUUGAACGCACAUUGCGCCCCCUGGUAUUCCGGGGGGCAUGCCUGUCCGAGCGUCAUUGCUGCCCUCAAGCCCGGCUUGUGUGUUGGGCCCCGUCCUCCGAUUCCGGGGGACGGGCCCGAAAGGCAGCGGCGGCACCGCGUCCGGUCCUCGAGCGUAUGGGGCUUUGUCACCCGCUCUGUAGGCCCGGCCGGCGCUUGCCGAUCAACCCAAAUUUUUAUCCAGGUUGACCUCGGAUCAGGUAGGGAUACCCGCUGAACUUAAGCAUAUCAAUAGGCCGGGAGGAA
rnacentral:rRNA from 1 species